AUGCAUAGGCCUACUGUCAGUCAUUCCAACAAGUUGACUUAGCGCUCAGUCAAUUUCCAUCCAUUAGGCCCAUCAUGCUGUCAAAGGCCUAAAACUCAUGUUUAAAGAUGAAGACCACAUGUAGUGGAAUACAAAUCUGCCGAGAUAAGGAUAUUUUCUGAAUCUUUCAAUUUUGGUGGCGUACCCUGCCAGGCUGCCACAGCAUGUUUGUUGUUAUGUAUGUGUUUACUUCUGUUUUUAGAAGACAACCCAGCUAAGAGAUAGUUUCAGAGACAUGAAGCGUGUGAAGUGAAUAACCUGCCAUGUGUAUGAACAUGUACCAGAUCUGCUUGAUGAAAGUCAAAUGCCUACUAAAUUCAUCGCCCAUAUGAUAAGCACCAGGAAAUUUAUCUCAACAUGUGGAGUAAUGCUGUUGAUUGAUGUGAAUUCAAUUUUUACGGUUUUUUCAUCAUGAGCAUUUCAGUGUGCUUAUUAGAUCAGAACACGCAGUUUCUUAAUGGAAUCGUGUGGUCCUGGCACGGAGAUUCUUGUGCCAAUGCUGAUCUUUGUCCAUGAUGGAAGAGAGACUUCCAACAACAUUCUUCUCCAUCCUUAUCUUCAGGACGCACGCUCAUCUAGCUUCACUGCUUUUAAACACAAUUUGUUUUACUUCACUGGCGACUUGGCGAGUUUCUGGACCACUUCGCUACCCUCUGCUGUUCCAAACCUGCAGUCACUCACCACCUGAUUAUGCCUAG